rnacentral:rRNA from 1 species
UACGUAGGGGGCAAGCGUUGUCCGGAAUCAUUGGGCGUAAAGAGCGCGUAGGCGGCCCUGUAAGUCCGCUGUGAAAGUCGAGGGCUCAACCCUCGAAUGCCGGUGGAUACUGUCGGGCUAGAGUACGGAAGAGGCGAGUGGAAUUCCUGGUGUAGCGGUGAAAUGCGCAGAUAUCAGGAGGAACACCAAUUGCGAAGGCAGCUCGCUGGGACGUUACUGACGCUGAGACGCGAAAGCGUGGGGAGCAAACAGG